GAGCAGUAAAGAAAUAAAUAAAGGAGAGCAAAUUGAAGGAAAGGUCCAUGCACAGAACUGCAACCUCACUGCAACAUCCUCCUGGUGCUGGCAGUUCAUAGUGCACACCGAAUCUGAGACAAUGGAUCUGGCUUGAAUCAAGUUGAUGCAGAUUCUGCCUAGCCCUGGAGUCAGCUCCUGUUGCUCCUCAAACACAAAAUCUUCCUCAGUAUAGGGUAUUCCAGUUGCAUCCAGAAGAAUCAACUAUGUCCUUGAGAUAAGACAACACUGGAGAAUGUCUCUGUUCCAGAAACUGGACUCCAUAAGGUAA